rnacentral:lncRNA from 1 species
GCAGAUCCAUCUGCAUCCAAAGUCCACCGCCUUCUAGCCGAGAAGCUGCGAGCUGACGUUAUGGCAAGCAUUAGGAUGAAGUCCGCGAUGUGUCGCGAAGGCAACCAGAAUCGUAAACUUAGAAACGCCAUAAAUUAACUACUUCCUACCGCAUCAAAACCAAAAAGGGUUGUCACAUGUGAAACUCCAAGACGUGGGCUUGGGCAAACACGAGGACCAGGCAUGCCUUACCAUGUGAGUUCUGUGGUGUCCUUCACGCCGCGCGCCCACACUUUUACUUCCAUGACAUGCACUGACAUGCACUUGCGUUGCCGUGAGCCCUAGCUAAUCGGCGGAAACUGGCGAAAGGAAAGUAAGGUGUCCUUUGAACCUGCUUCCUAGUCUUAACUAGCUUGAGCCUCGAAGAGACACGCUUCCUUGAAACUGGAGAAAAGAGCGAAGCCCCCUGUAAUCACUACACCCCCAUGUGCUGUGGCUUGCGUACGUUGAACCUCGAACCGUAUACAUGGGGUAGCCAGCCGCCCAUCCGGCGAGGAAGUCGUGCAAGGCCCGCGGCGCUCGUAACGGAAGUCCCUGCCGGAUCUGAUUCAUGUGCAAGAACCCCGAACCCUAACCGCGUGUGCAGGAGCCUGGGCCAUUGAGCGAGUUGAGGAAAUCCCCUUUUCCAGGCUAGCGAGGUUUCAGCAUAAAUGACGGUUCAACGUUCGUUGACCAGAGCCAAAUGGGGAGGGUCAUAACAGUUGAUGUUGGUGUUGGUGCCUUUGCGGUGAACGUGCGAGUGCGCGAGUGAAGGGCGCGUAGGGCGGAGGAGAAAAGGGCAGAGAGAGGGGGAAUGCGG